AGUGAAUAGAUACCCAGGUAGUCCACGCCCUAAACGAUGUCGACUGGUUGUUGGGGUUUGGUACACUCUCAGUAAACGAAAAGACUAAACGCGUGAAGUCGACCGCCUGGGGAGGUACGGCCGCAAGGUUAAAACUACAAGGAAUUGACGGGGACCCGGCACAAGCGGUGGAUUAUGUGGAUUAAUUACGAUGCAACGCGAAAAACCUUAACCUACCCUUCGACAUGUCCGGAACGGGCGUGCUGAAAGGCGGCUGUGCCCGAAACGGGAACUGGAACACAGGUGCUGCAUGGCUGUCGUCAGCUCGUGUCGUGAGAUGUUGGGUUAAGUCCCGCAACGAGCGCAACCCUUGUCAUUAGUUGCUACAUUCAGUUGGGCACUCUAAUGAGACUGCCGGUGACAAACCGGA
rnacentral:rRNA from 1 species